rnacentral:rRNA from 1 species
UACGGAGGGUGCAAGCGUUAUUCGGAAUCACUGGGCGUAAAGGACGCGUAGGCGGGUUGGCAAGUCAGAUGUGAAAUCCUACAGCUUAACUGUAGAACUGCAUUUGAAACUGCUAACCUAGAGUAUGGGAGGGGGAGAUGGAAUUAGUGGUGUAGGGGUAAAAUCCGUAGAUAUCACUAGGAAUACCGAAAGCGAAGGCGAUCUCCUGGAACAUAACUGACGCUAAGGCGUGAAAGCGUGGGGAGCAAACAGGAUUAGAAACCCUUGUAGUCC